rnacentral:lncRNA from 1 species
UUCGGUAGAGUUCCUAAUGAUAUUUGGUUAAACAAUCUCUGAUGAUGAUGUUUAUAAAGAAGCUUUACGAAGUCUCAUCAGUCACAAGAAAUCAAGUCCCAGAUGAAGUGUUGAGUCAAUGAUGAAUCAAGUAAAGGAUCUUGAUGUUUCAAAUAUCCUGAAAGAGGGAAAGUGUGAAAGCCCGUUUGGUCGGUGUCUGAGUGAUCAAUGUAUUGUAAAGAUAUAAGAGUAAUU